AUGACUCGAUGCACUGACUGCCCACGGACUGCGCCACUGAAGCGGUUGACUUCGAAGGAGGAGAAGAAUGGGAACUUUGGGCGCGAGUUCGUCAAAUGCGAGAGCAAGCCGGAGGGGCAGAUCAUGAAGAAAUGCCACCAUUUCGAGUGGAUGGAUGAUUACAUCCAGAGGCUUCAAGGGUUGGGCUUGCUGGAUUCGAGGGGGAAUGCAAUCCGCGAGUCCAAUCUGCCCCAUGACAGUGCCGCUCCGGCAGCAGCAGCGCGUCCGGAAUACCCGACGGUGGUAGAUGUCGAACUGAAGACGGAAUUGAAGAAGAUGAACAAGAACUUCAAGGAGCUUAUUGAGAUGAAGAAGCAAUCCAAUCUGAUAGCUUUAGGAAUACUUGCUCUAGGAUUUUUUUACUUGAUGGCCAUCUCUCGUUAG
rnacentral:rRNA from 1 species